UUUUUUUUUUCUUCCAAACUAUUUGAUUUAAAACCUGAACACUGAGCUAGCAGAUCUUGCCACUUGCUCUAAGUAAACAAAGGAGUCAGGAAGCCUGCAGAGAGGAUUCCUUCAGUUUUGGCUGAGACCCACAGACUGACAACAGUGUUGUGUUCUCGCACAUCUAAGGGGGACCAUUUUAUCCUAAACUUCCCAUGGGGAGAAAUACUAAGAUUUUCUGCACUGAUACUGAUGAUCUAUCUUUGGGUAUUUGAAGCUGGAUCAAUUGCUUCAUACUGUUUGUUUAUAAUGUCCACACUUAGGCUACUUUGCUUUUUCCCCACCAGAUCCACCCUGCCAUGCCUUCAUUAAUGUUAAACAAAAAUUUACUCAUGUUCAGUGAGGUUCCUGGUUCCAUGCUAGGUCUUUUUGAAUAGGGAUGAAGGAAAAACACCCCUGAGUUUUCUCUUCUCACAUUUGGAACCUGUCUAGUGUGGGAUUGGGUUACUGAUAAAAUGAUAUUGGAGAACGUGGUUUCAAGUCUACUGGCCAAGUGGGCUUAAUACCAGGCCCCUAAAUUAGGUCUGCUUUUGGCUACAGACAGUGUUGCUAUUGAACACCCAUGGCCACCAGCCUUGAGGAGUGACUAACAUGGUGUAUGUUGACUGGCAGGUUCAGGAGGAAGGAGAAAGAAGGUGUUGAGUUGUGUUCAGUUCCUCCCAGACUCUACAUACCACUUUGCCUUGUGCCUGCAGUACAGCAUAGAUGGGGGUGGAGAGCCUGGACUGUGACUCUGUGUCACCAAUGGGGAAUGGGGCUUCCUCCGUUGUACAGACAUUCCUAGUUCAGAAGAGCCAGGAUUUCUGCCUAAGUUUCCAGAGCCCAAGUCUGGGUUUCAGUCCACUGUUCCCACCCUGCUCUCCUGACAGGGAACAGCAGAGUUCUUUAGUGAGACAUAAAAUUCCACCAAAAACUAAGAAAUUUACUGUAUCCUUAAAAAAAAAGCGAGAGAUGGCAAUAUGCCCUUUAGAGAGCUAUUUCUGACUUAUGGGGUCGAUUGAAUUUCUUUGUUUAUAAAAAGUAUGAACAUUUUAAAAUCACAUGCCUCAGAUUAGAAAAGAGUUCAGAUUUACUGGCUGGGAAAAGGUAGGUGGAUAUCCCCAUCUCUUCAUCCAAGGUAUGAGCCAUGGGAAGGACCAUGGUCAAAAAGCAAGGAUACCUUUUGUCAGUUGGAAAAAAGCAUCAAACAGCUUUUUUCUUUUUAAACAUUUUAUUUAUUUAUUCAUGAGAGACAUAGAGAGAGAGGUAGAGACCUAGGCAGAGAGAGAAGCAGGCUCCCUGUGGGGAGCCCAAUGUGGAACUCGAUCCCAGGACCCCGGGAUCACGACCUGAGCUGAAGGCAGACACUCAACCACUGAGCCAUCCAGGUGUCCCCAAACAGUUUUUUUCAAUAGCGGGACUGGAUUUACACCCGAGGGGUAGCGGUUAAGGAUCUGGCUUUGUGAUGUGGCUCUCAGCUCACAAAAGUCACUGUUGCAAAUCCGAAGCUAAGAUAACUGAGCUUCCCACCUUGGGCCAACUGACAUCAUCCUGCAGGCAAACCCAAAGGAAGCGACCUCUUGACUGAUUUAUCUAACGCAGCUCAUUUCAAACUCAGUAGUAGACUCUAUUUUCUGCCCUGUCAGUAAAAUGCACCCUUUGGGUUAAUGCCCUGCACAGCUGACACACCAUUUACACGGAUUUGUCUGCCAAAGGACAACUCAGUCUUUUGUGGAGGGGGAGAAGUUCAAUGUCCCAAAAGAGGCAGACAAUAAGUAGACUUUGUUUCUAAUUGUUUUGCUGGGCAGUUCAUCUUUUGUGUACUUUAUAUGAGUUCAUUUUUCUUUGAGGAAAAUUUCUUUUUUUAAAAAAAUGUAAAUGUACUGGUUUAUUUUUCUGGGGACAGUUUGAUGCUAAAAAAAAAAAUUCUGAGUUUUCCAUUUUUCAAAAGAGUUGGAAGAGAUAGAGUUUUAUAUGUUUUGUUCCUACAGUCCCAACCAAUUUGCCAUGUCAUUGCAAUUUUUAACCUUUCAAAGGAGUUCAUUUAAAUAAAUAGACUGUCUAGAGGGAAGCCUAGAUGGGUGUUAGAAUUUGACUAAUUCUCUCUGCUGCCAUAGAUUCCUGCUUUGCAAGUGAGCAGGGCACUUAGAAGCCCAUGGACUGGGCACCAUCACUUUAGAUCCAUGGGCACUCUUAGACAGAAUAGGUAAACUAU
rnacentral:lncRNA from 1 species